rnacentral:sRNA from 1 species
UUCUACAAAAUUGAACAAUGACUUGUAUUUAUUAGACCACUUAAUGUCCGUGCCGAAUUUGGUCCAAGUCGGACCAAAUUGGGAUAUAACUGCUAGGGGGGGUAUAAAAUAUGCAUUUUCACCAGAUUAUGACGAAGGUGGUUUACAUAUAUACCCAAGGUGGUGGGUAUCCAAAGCUCGGCGCGGCCGAACUUAACGUCUUUUUACUUAUUGUAGUUGCUCUAUUGUUUUUAUUAGUAAAUAAACAACGACAUUAAAAGGAUAUAAUAUUUUUUUGUGUUAAAAUUGUUCAUUUGUUUCUAUAUUUCAAAUCUGUUGGUGUUUGAAGUCAAUAAUUUUUCUUUUAUUCCCCUUUAUUUCGUUUGGCGGUGGCGUAGUCGAAUGUCGAUUAUGGUUGUCGAAGACGAAAAUUCGUUUAUAUAAUUUAAUUGCAUUCUAAACAAAAUCGGGCCUGUUUGUCGAAAAAAAGGCGAAAAAGUUACAGAAUACCACGAAAUGGGAUAUUUGCCUUUGAUUACGACUGCUGUCGAUUUUCGCCUCCGACAACGGGAAUAAGAGUGAUUUAUCAAAUUUCUUAGUGAGAUACACAUUGAUAGGACGGAAGAUGACACUUAAUAAAAAAGGAAAAAAAA